rnacentral:misc_RNA from 1 species
GAAAUGCGAUAAGUAAUGUGAAUUACAGAAUUCAGUGAAUCAUCGAAUCUUUGAACGCACCUUGCGCUCCUUGGUAUUCCUUGGAGCAUGCCUGUUUGAGUUUCAUGAAAUCUUCAAAGUAAAUCUUUUGUUAACUCAAUUGGUUUCUACUUUGGUAUUGGAGGUCUUUGCAGCUUCACACCUGCUCCUCUUUGUUCAUUAGCUGGAUCUCAGUGUUAUGCUUGGUUCCACUCGGCGUGAUAAGUUAUCUAUCGCUGAGGACACUGUAAAAGGUGGCCAAGGUAAAUGCAGAUGAACCGCUUCUAAUAGUCCAUUGACUUGGACAAUACUUUUAUGAUCUGAUCUCAAAUCAGGUAGGACUACCCGCUGAACUUAAGC